UUAUUCUGCUUGCUUGUCUAUUGUACUUGGUUUUCAUCUUGCUAUUCUUCUUUUUUUUUCUUUUUUUUCGCAUGGCUACUUUUUUCAAAUGGGUUAGUUGUGAUUCUGAUCAGGCUCGGAUCCAGUUAAUACCAGACAUCAUGUGGCGAGCAAACGGGAGGCGGAUCAAAAUCUGCCUCGCGUAUUUGAAUACAACCUUCCCCAUGAUCAUUUUUGGGAUUGGCCUCUUUUAG
rnacentral:lncRNA from 1 species